GUUAGUCAUUGAUAGUAUAUAUUGAUCCACUUGAUCCCAUUCCGAACUCGAAUUGUGAAAGUAUAUACGCCAUACGUACUGCAAAAUUGUGGGACAUUUAUGGUGAUGACUAUA
rnacentral:rRNA from 1 species